UCCGGCGACUGCAACAGGGAUCACGGCUCGGUCUGCUGUAAAGACGGUCACCGCUACCCGCAAUUCAGGUGCUCGCCCCCGGUGUCGGCCGACACGCCGGCGAUCCUAACUCUGAACAGCUUCGCACGAGGUGGAGACGGCGGCGGCAAAUCGUUCUGCGACAACCGCUUCCACAAGGACACCGAGCUGGUGGUGGCGUUGUCCACGGGGUGGCUGCGCCUGGACGGCAAGCGCAGGUGCAACAAGAUGAUCCGCAUCAACGGGAACGGGCGUGCCGUGCUGGCCAAGGUCGUCGAUGAGUGUGACUCGGUGUACGGCUGCGACGCCGAGCACAACUUCGAGCCACCGUGCCCAUACAAUGACGUAGACGCGUCACCGGCCGUGUGGAAGGCGUUGGGGCUCAAGGAGAAAAUUGGAGUGUUCAAGAUCACUUGGUCUGAUGUGUGA
rnacentral:rRNA from 1 species